GAUGAACGCUGGCGGCGUGCUUAACACAUGCAAGUCGAACGAAGCACUCUAUUUGAUUUUCUUCGGAAAUGAAGAUUUUGUGACUGAGUGGCGGACGGGUGAGUAACGCGUGGGUAACCUGCCUCAUACAGGGGGAUAACAGUUGGAAACGACUGCUAAUACCGCAUAAGCGCACAGGAUCGCAUGAUCCGGUGCGAAAAACUCCGGUGGUAUGAGAUGGACCCGCGUCUGAUUAGCCAGUUGGCAGGGUAACGGCCUACCAAAGCGACGAUCAGUAGCCGACCUGAGAGGGUGACCGGCCACAUUGGGACUGAGACACGGCCCAAACUCCUACGGGAGGCAGCAGUGGGGAAUAUUGCACAAUGGGGGAAACCCUGAUGCAGCGACGCCGCGUGAGCGAAGAAGUAUUUCGGUAUGUAAAGCUCUAUCAGCAGGGAAGAAGAAUGACGGU
rnacentral:rRNA from 1 species